UAAGACUGAGACCUGGGGACAUCUGGGACCUCCACUGGAUUUGGAGUAAUUGGUCUCCUCAGCACUGCGGCAGGCUCCCUGAGGAACGGGGAAACUGCAGGGGAGAAAAGGGAAACGGGUGAAUUAUAGAUCACUAUCCUUCUUUGCAUCCUGUGAUCAGGAACUGGCAGAGACCCCGUGUUGGCGGAGAAUUAAGGAGGAGCACCACGGAAAAGCCUUCCUGAGGCAUUGCCGGCAAUGUGGUGCACGCCAGAGGACUCACGAGCAGCUGGCCACACCGAUGCAGAGGGAUGACAUGAAUCUGACUGAUGACAAAUCAGUGGUUCAGGAAGCAUGACUCAGAUUAAACCAAGAAUUGGAAUAUACCUCUAAGAAUGUUUAAUUCACCAAAAAUUGUCAGCAGUGUCCAACACAGAUGUAUCUACUCGAAUGUGUUUAGUAAAUUAAAACAAAACCAAACCCUGAGAUCUGGAGGCCUCUGUGAACCAGAAAUAUCAGCUGAUUGAGCAGCUUGUGAGCAAACCAUAAUCCUUAACGCGCCAGCGUGGCAACUCCUGACGAACCUGAACCCCACUGUCUCUUGGUCACUACAGACAAGGAUGUGCCUGACCAUCACAUCUGGUACCAGUUUGUCUUUAUUUACUCUAACUGAAGGCAGCAAGGACUUCAGCUGGAUGGAACCAUUCUUCUGAACAGUUUUUGUUUGUAUGCAUUCAUUAGCACUUUUCCAAAAUGUAUGUGAUAGUUUUGCCAAAAUUUAUUUAUGUUUUCUCACUGAAUUUCAAUGAACUUCACAUCUGUAUGUUAGAAACUUCCUGCUAUUUUUUUUAUUAUCUCCAAAAUUUGAUUACCUUUCAGUCCUUCUUGGUGUAGUCAUAUCCAAACCCCAUAAUAUGUAUCUUUGUUUCUGUAAAAAUAAUGGUUUUCUAGCUUUUAUUGUCUUUGGCACAGAAAUCCUUUCUAAUCCCACAAGCAGACUGAUUGAAUUUGCCAGCUGAACUACAGCUCAGCUGUUUGUAGCAUUCUUCCUUCUCUCAUUUUUCUUUGCAACAGGGGAACCUUUCUGGGGAAUUAUUUGACCUCUGCAUUUGUCAGAAUUCCAGACAUUAGCUACCAUUAGUGUUCAGUGGGACUGAAAACAGACGGGAAAUAGAGGUAACUGUAAAUGCUGUAAUAAAAUGUAUGAGUGUAAUGACAAAUCUGUAAGCAUCUUUAUGAACCUAAGAGAUGAAGCAGUUGUGCAGUCUUCUCAGGGUGGACUCAUGUUGGUGCAUGCUAGUCUUUGACUUUAAAAAUAAUAACAAAUGAAAAUAUAAAGCUGGCAGUAAUACCUCCAUACUUAAUACUCACUUUUAAAUCUCUAGAGUUCCCAGCUGCACAUGAUUUCCAUCUUAGAUUUUCGGAAUUCAGAAAAAAUUUCUUUAGUCAAAGCUUAAAGAACUAUAUCAGUAGCCUUCGCAUGGCAGACCAGAUCCUAAAGGGAAUAUGGAAAUCUUCUGGCCUGAAGAGAAAGUAAUUAAAUAGCAGGCAAAAGAAUCCUUGUCCUUUCUUCCAGUCAGUCUUCCAGUUUUCUGUAUUGAGGGGAUUUUUUUUCUUCCAAUCUUUCUCUUAUUAAUGAGCGACUCUCACAGAUACUGGAUUUUUGCGUUCUGUGUUCAGAGCAUGAUCUCUGCUGCAUUUUAAACCAAUGAUAUGUCUGAAAUACAAAUAUUGGUCCUAAAUGUAGAGUCUGUUCAGCUUUAUGUUUGCAGUUCAGUUGCAGCAACUUACUCAGGAUAUUUCUCCAGCUUCAAGCAGAGUGAGUUAAGACCAAGUGAACAGAUUUAGACCUACUGAAAAUCUACACUCACAAUUUAAUCAUAGGGUUAUUCAUUUGUACAUACUCAUACAUAUUCUUCAUGUAAAGCACAGCAUUCAAAUAUCCAAAUGAGACACUGCCAAAAAUAAAUGUCUUCAUUCUGGCCAGAAUUCAGUAAUUUAUUUAAUUUGUUGAGAAAUUCAGCCUUUUCUCUUUUUCCUUUUUGAAUACUGGUAAGUGCAGUGUGAUUUUUCUCAAGUUUGUCUGAAAAACAGUUUUUUUAUCUCUUUAGAAUUGUUGCAAACAGGACACUAUAAGUAUGCAGUAUUUCAGACUCAGGUUCUGUGGAUUAGGUAUGAGUAAUUAAAAAGGUCACA